AUUUGUCCUAGUUUUUUAAGAGUUAUUGCAUUUUAAGAAAUGUCAUUAUCCAUGUAUGUCUUUGUUAAUUUUUCGAGUAGCUUUUUCUUCCGCCGAUUAUGCAAGGAGAUUCUGCGACAACGAAGUGACUAGUGUUAAAAACUAGUAGAUUCUAGAUAAGUAUAUAAAGGUCUGUCGUCACUUUUGAAUAUAAUAGAUACAACAGUUACUUCUAGGUCAGUUACAAACGUUCGACUAACAAAGCUAUUUGAUGAAACAUGAAACUUUCGUCGCACUUUGUAUCUUCGUUACGAUCGUCUACGUGUUCGUAGAAGCAACUCGUGUAAAGGACUCCGCUACCAUACAUGCUGCUUUAACAUUUUGCAACUUCACGAUUAAACUGAAGGAAACGAACAUGUCGGAAGUGUUUGAUACACUCGCACGAAACUUCCCAAAAAUAUUCUAAAAAUUUUAGAUGCCAUUAGAAGAUCCAGAGCUGUAUGAUUAUGUAGUUAGUUUCAAGAUAAAUGUACUUGUUGCAUAUAACAGAGCGCUAAACGUAAUAUGUACUGUUAUGUUAGCUGAAAACAAACGUAUCAAUCCUAUAUGACCAAAUUGAAAUAUUUUUUAAGAAUACCAGAUGAUUAUUGAAGUAUGAUAGUAAUUAUAGAAUUCUUCUCAGAUCAUAUUCUGAAGCGCGAAGCUGGAUAUGACGAAAUGGAAGCACCUUCAAGGAUUGGAGAUGAAUAUGUUCGAGAAGUAGGCGGGAAGAGUUGCGGAGGAGAUUGGUUUUCUCGAACAGUAGGUUUCGAUAAUCUCAAUUGCUAUGCCGACUGCAUUACGAGAAGACCAAAUCGCGAUGGUAGAUGCGUGAAUGGACAAUGUGUUUGCUUCUGAGUGUCUUUUCGAAACAAUUUUCCCAUCUUAUUAUGAAUUUCUGCAUUUCCAUUGGACAUUCUAUGUAUAUAUGUAUAGUUAUUGUUACAGCUACAAUACUAUAAACAAUUUGCAUCCAAAUUCGCGGUUGUUAUAUUUAUUAUUUGAUACAUAAAUCGUUUGUAGUUAUUACUACCAGAAAUGCAUCUUUAUAUCUUUAUUUCUGUUCAUUUCUACAUCAAGAUUAAUUAUUAAUUCAUACAAUUAUAAGAUUUAUAAAUUUUGCGAAUUUCCGAACGAAUGAAAAGGAUAUCUGAAAUAUCGUUGCGUGUACCAAUACUCGGGGGUUAACGUGUCAGAGUGAAUAUGUUAACAAAAGUAACAUCAAACAUUAAUAACGUUGUAUGUAUGAUCCUCAAUAUCACAGAAGCUAAAGCUCCCACAAAAAUAUGCCAAAGGCAAAUAUAUUUAUAUUAUAUAAAUAUAAUAUUGUCCCUUUGAAACAAA